GACGAACGCUGGCGGCGUGCUUAACACAUGCAAGUCGAACGGAAAGGCCCUGCUUUUGUGGGGUGUUCGAGUGGCGAACGGGUGAGUAACACGUGAGUAACCUGCCCUUGACUUUGGGAUAACUUCAGGAAACUGGGGCUAAUACCGGAUAGGAGCUCCUGCUGCAUGGUGGGGGUUGGAAAGUUUCGGCGGUUGGGGAUGGACUGGCGGCUUAUCAGCUUGUUGGUGGGGUAGUGGCUUACCAAGGCUUUGACGGGUAGCCGGCCUGAGAGGGAGAGCGGCAACGUGGGAACUGAGAUACGGCGCAGACGCGUACGGGAGGCAGCAGUGGGGAAUAUUCCACAAUGGGCGAAAGCCGGGUGCGGCAACGCCGCGUGCGGGAGGACGCCCUCGGUUUGUAAACCGCUUUCGCCUGUGACGAAGCGUGAGUGACGGUAAUGGGUAAAGAAGCACCGGCUAACUACGUG
rnacentral:rRNA from 1 species